CGGUAUGCUUAACACAUGCAAGUCGAACGGGUGUAGCAAUACAUCAGUGGCAAACGGGUGAGUAAUGUAAAGGAAUCUACCUAACAGUACGGAAUAACUCUGGGAAACCAGUGCUAAUACCGUAUAUUCCCUCCGGGGGAAAGAUUUAUCGCUGUUAGAUGAGCCUUUAUCGGAUUAGCUAGUUGGUAGGGUAAAGGCCUACCAAGGCGAUGAUCCGUAGCUGGUCUGAGAGGAUGAUCAGCCACACUGGGACUGAGACACGGCCCAGACUCC
rnacentral:rRNA from 1 species